rnacentral:rRNA from 1 species
UAGGGAAUCUUCGGCAAUGGACGAAAGUCUGACCGAGCAACGCCGCGUGAGUGAAGAAGGUUUUCGGAUCGUAAAACUCUGUUGUUAGAGAAGAACAAGGACGUUAGUAACUGAACGUCCCCUGACGGUAUCUAACCAGAAAGCCACGGCUAACUACGUGCCAGCAGCCGCGGUAAUACGUAGGUGGCAAGCGUUGUCCGGAUUUAUUGGGCGUAAAGCGAGCGCAGGCGGUUUCUUAAGUCUGAUGUGAAAGCCCCCGGCUCAACCGGGGAGGGUCAUUGGAAACUGGGGGACUUGAGUGCAGAAGAGGGGGGUGGAAUUCCAUGUGUAGCGGUGAAAUGCGUAGAUAUAUGGAGGAACACCAGUGGCGAAGGCGGCUCUCUGGUCUGUAACUGACGCUGAGGCUCGAAAGCGGGGGGAGCAAACAGG